rnacentral:rRNA from 1 species
GACGAACGCUGGCGGCGUGGCUUAACACAUGCAAGUCGAACGGAAAGGCCCUGCUUUUGUGGGGUGCUCGAGUGGCGAACGGGUGAGUAACACGUGAGUAACCUGCCCUUGACUUUGGGAUAACUUCAGGAAACUGGGGCUAAUACCGGAUAGGAGCUCCUGCUGCAUGGUGGGGGUUGGAAAGUUUCGGCGGUUGGGGAUGGACUCGCGGCUUAUCAGCUUGUUGGUGGGGUAGUGGCUUACCAAGGCUUUGACGGGUAGCCGGCCUGAGAGGGUGACCGGCCACAUUGGGACUGAGAUACGGCCCAGACUCCUACGGGAGGCAGCAGUGGGGAAUAUUGCACAAUGGGCGGAAGCCUGAUGCAGCAACGCCGCGUGCGGGAUGACGGCCUUCGGGUUGUAAACCGCUUUCGCCUGUGACGAAGCGUGAGUGACGGUAAUGGGUAAAGAAGCACCGGCUAACUACGUGCCAGCAGCCGCGGUGAUACGUAGGGUGCGAGCGUUGUCCGGAUUUAUUGGGCGUAAAGGGCUCGUAGGUGGUUGAUCGCGUCGGAAGUGUAAUCUUGGGGCUUAACCCUGAGCGUGCUUUCGAUACGGGUUGACUUGAGGAAGGUAGGGGAGAAUGGAAUUCCUGGUGGAGCGGUGGAAUGCGCAGAUAUCAGGAGGAACACCAGUGGCGAAGGCGGUUCUCUGGGCCUUUCCUGACGCUGAGGAGCGAAAGCGUGGGGAGCGAACAGGCUUAGAUACCCUGGUAGUCCACGCUGUAAACGGUGGGUACUAGGUGUGGGGUCCAUUCCACGGGUUCCGUGCCGUAGCUAACGCUUUAAGUACCCCGCCUGGGGAGUACGGCCGCAAGGCUAAAACUCAAAGGAAUUGACGGGGCCCCGCACAAGCGGCGGAGCAUGCGGAUUAAUUCGAUGCAACGCGUAGAACCUUACCUGGGUUUGACAUGGAUCGGGAGUGCUCAGAGAUGGGUGUGCCUCUUUUGGGGUCGGUUCACAGGUGGUGCAUGGCUGUCGUCAGCUCGUGUCGUGAGAUGUUGGGUUAAGUCCCGCAACGAGCGCAACCCUUGUUCACUGUUGCCAGCACGUUAUGGUGGGGACUCAGUGGAGACCGCCGGGGUCAACUCGGAGGAAGGUGGGGAUGACGUCAAGUCAUCAUGCCCCUUAUGUCCAGGGCUUCACGCAUGCUACAAUGGCUGGUACAGAGAGUGGCGAGCCUGUGAGGGUGAGCGAAUCUCGGAAAGCCGGUCUCAGUUCGGAUUGGGGUCUGCAACUCGACCUCAUGAAGUCGGAGUCGCUAGUAAUCGCAGAUCAGCAACGCUGCGGUGAAUACGUUCCCGGGGCU